AUGCAAUGAUGCUUGCAUUUCUUCACCUGAAUCUUCCAUGUGGAUCAAAACAUACAAGCUUUUUAAUUCUGAGCUAA
rnacentral:snoRNA from 1 species